rnacentral:hammerhead_ribozyme from 2 species
AUCCUGCUGAUUAGUCCUAAAUAGGACGAAAUGCGCGUCAUGGAU